UAAACUAGGAUUAGAUACCCUAUUAUAUUAAACAAAUAAAGUAGUAAUCAAAUAAAACUAAUUUAAUUUGGCGGCAUUUCAUCUAUUUAGAGGAAUUUGUCUAUUAAUCGAUAAUCCACGUUAAAUUUUACUUUAAUUUAAAACUUAUAUACCGCCAUUUUAAGAAUCAAUUAAAAAUUCUCUCUCCUAAUAAUUAAUAAUAAAUUAGGUCAAGGUGUAAUCAACAUUAAAGAAUCAGAUGAAUUACAUUAAACAAUAUUUAAAGCUUAUAUAUAAAUAUAUAAAUAUAAAUAAGAAUUUAAAAGUAAUAUAAAAAUAAUAA
rnacentral:rRNA from 1 species